CGGCCGCGAGGUGGCCAUGAAGAUCCAGUACCCUGGCGUGGCCCAGAGCAUCAACAGUGAUGUCAACAACCUCAUGGCCGUGCUGAACAUGAGCAACAUGCUUCCAGAAGGCCUAUUCCCCGAGCACCUGAUCGACGUGCUGAGGCGGGAGCUGGCCCUGGAGUGUGACUACCAGCGGGAGGCCGCCUGCGCCCGCAAGUUCAGGUGUGGCCCCCCAGCCGGGCCCCUUGCGUGUUUCCACCAGGGAGGCAGAAGGAACCAUGUUCAGCAGCUGGUGAAGGCCCCUCUGGCUCUGAGGGGCAGAGGGCUGGGGUUGCAGCCUGGGCCGAGGCCACAUCCUGCCUGGGGUGAAGGAGGGCUCUCUGCCUGGUGGGGUGUGUGUGUGGGGGGGCGGUGUGGGGGGCCUGUGGCUAGAGCGUGACCUCCCGCCCCUACCCAGGGACCUGCUGAAGGGCCACCCCUUCUUCUACGUGCCUGAGAUUGUGGAUGAGCUCUGCAGCCCACAUGUGCUGACCACAGAGCUGGUGUCCGGCUUCCCCCUGGACCAGGCCGAAGGGCUCAGCCAGGAGAUUCGGAAUGAGAUCUGCUACAACAUCCUGGUUCUGUGCCUGAGGGAGCUGUUCGAGUUCCACUUCAUGCAAACAGACCCCAACUGGUCCAACUUCUUCUAUGACCCCCAGCAGCACAAGGUGGCUCUUUUGGAUUUUGGGGCAACGCGGGAAUAUGACAGAUCCUUCACCGACCUCUACAUUCAGAUCAUCAGGGCUGCUGCUGACAGGGACAGGGAGACUGUGCGGGCGAAAUCCAUAGAGAUGAAGUUCCUCACUGGCUACGAGGUCAAGGUCAUGGAAGACGCCCACUUGGAUGCCAUCCUCAUCCUGGGGGAGGCCUUCGCCUCCGAUGAGCCCUUUGAUUUUGGCACCCAGAGCACCACCGAGAAGAUCCACAACCUGAUUCCCGUCAUGCUGAGGCACCGUCUCGUCCCCCCACCCGAGGAGACCUACUCCCUGCACAGGAAGAUGGGGGGCUCCUUCCUCAUCUGCUCCAAGCUGAAGGCCCGCUUCCCCUGCAAGGCCAUGUUCGAGGAGGCCUACAGCAACUACCGCAAGAGGCAGGCCCAGCAGUAGGGCUGUGGGCCACGCCCAGGCCGGCUCCGCGGGAACUCUCUCCCUCAGACAGGCCAAAAACCAGUAGGGAGGUGGUGGUGAUGCUCUUUUUAACUCCUUUGCCCAAUAAGGGGGGGUGGCUGCCUGGAGCCCCGUAGCCAGCGCUUUCCACGGUUUCUGUUGCUAAAUGGUUGUAGGGUGAGAAGUGCAGGAAUGAAGAUGAAGCCCCACUGCUCGGUCAGUCUGCCUCCGUGUGUCCUCUGAAAUAAGUAGAUGAAGAUGAAAGGGCAACUUUGUUUUCUUCUUUUUCCUGACGUGAAUGUUGAGCAGAAGGGAGAGAGUCCUUACUCCCUUCCAAUCUCUGUUCCAGUGCAAAACCCAGAAACAUGAACACAGAUACGAUUGUGGGAUUUUGUCAUCUGUGUAGUAGGUGUGUGUAUGUGUUUCUAGAGUUAGAUUUGUGUUUUUUGCCCUUUUCCUCUCCAUCCGAUGGGCUGGAGCUGGGAGAGGUGCUGAUCUAACAGUGCCAACAAGUGCUCCUUAAGCCUGCGAGGCCCAGGCCUGUGGGGCUGGCUCUCACCUUUGACAGCUGAAUGUUUCUAAAGAACUGCUGCCCUACAGUAAGGGUGGGAGCAGCAGAACAGGGAAUGCCAGACACAGGCUCGCUGCUGCUGGAAGGCAGGGUGGGACUUCCUUCCUCUGUCCGGAGAGGCACAGGUGUCACCAGUUCCAGCCAAAGGCUCCUCACAGGCUCUGUGAAUUUUUGUACAAGUCUUGUAAUUAUCGAAUCAACUUGUUUCAAUUUAAUAAAAAUGCUCAUGGGAAGUGC
rnacentral:sRNA from 1 species